UCCUGGGCUAAGCCUGGGGAUGGGGAAGGCUUGGGGCUCAGAGCCGGGAGAAAGGGAGCCUUGGCUUCAGGGGGAGUCCCUGGAAGAGCCAGGCGCCUCUUCCCUUCCCAGGGUGGGAUUAUUGAGUCUCCUCUGGGGGGAAUGACCCCCCCCCAAACUCCCCUCCUUCCUUCCAGCCUGUGAAGCCAAGCCCUCCCCACGGAUUCCCCCCCCUUUUGACCUCGGAGAGCUGGAAACCAGUGAUUGGCAUUUGCACUGGUGGGGGACUGGACUGGAAGGAAGCAUACUGGGAAGUGGGGGGGGUUAAGAAAAGUGACCCUCCCUCCCUUUGUUGCCUGGGGAGAAGAUGGCUUUCGUCGUGGGGCCCUUUCUGCACAGCAGAUCCUUGACUUGCAAAGGCAGAAAAGACCCCCCCCCAAUAGAAGAGUGAAAAAACAAGGUUGGGAAGGCUUAAUUAGAGGGUGGGUGGAGUUUAUUAAUCCAUUCAAUUUUGGGACAGAACCAGUGAUCAGGAAACACGGAGGGGCAGGGGGACUCUGUGAUCCCUUAGGAGGUGGUCAGGAGGUCCUUCCCCUGUAUUUGCCCUCAGCGUCCGGGUUGUUUUCCAUGCAGGGGGUGUUCAGAAUUGGCCCUUGGGCUCUUCCUACAUGGAAGAGCUGAGACACCACCAGACAGAUGUCAGAAGAAAACUCAGGAAAAGGGUAGAGCAGCCGCCCUCCACAGUGAGGAAUUGGUGGAAUUUUGGCAUGAUGCUUGGGACCUAUCCUGGCUCAUCUCUUCUUUCUGGAGGAACAGAAACAGUAUCUGUGCAACCUGACCUGGACAGUGCCAAGCUGCGGAGAGACGCUGGCCGCUUCCCUCUCUCGGACCUCUCUCUGAACCUCAAGGGUAUAGUGGUGACCUUUGAGGACGUAGCUGUGUAUUUUACGGAGAAGGAGUGGACUCUGCUGGAUCCGGCCAAAGGGCUCUCCACAGGGACGUCAUGGAGGAGAAUUGGGCCAAUCUGGUCUCCCUAGCUACUGAUAUGGAAGGAAAGAAGAGUGAGAAAGAAAUAAAAAGCCACUCCCUGGGAACAGCCAUUAAUAAAAAGCAGAAACACGGCCCGAAAAGCACUAAUAACAAGAAGGGGAAAGAAACAAAUUGUCCAGUGGUCUCCACCGAGCAAGAACAGUAUGCAUCGGCUUUGAUUUAUCUGCUGGGCACUGACUUCAUUAACCGACAUGGCGAAGCAGGACAGUUCAUCUAUUAUCUGCGCCGAAAGCGUGCGGGAGCGAGGCAGACGUGGAUUCCUGGUUGGAUUCAUUACAAAUGCAAAAAGUUGAUCCUUUUCCGUUGCGCGGAGAGCCCAAAGAAGCCCAAAAACAAGUUGGAACAUUUUCAUCUGGGCAAUCUAGCCAAGAGACUCGCCAUUCACCAGAGAACGUGCGCCCCUCUGGAACUCUGCCCUUGCUUGGCUGACUUGCGACAAGUCCACCUGCACCAGAUCACCAACGACUGGGCACACCAGUACGAAUUCCCCCCAGAAACGUCAGGCUCGCAACCUGGAGCCAGCCAACCUUCCCGAGAACCAAGAGGGGAGCAGCAGGAAGCAGCACUGUAGGGACGGCAAGGGCAAGACGCUGGAUCCAGCACGCCCACCACUUCCCGUGACCAUAACCUGUACAGGACCCAUUUCAUUCCAAGAUGUGGGUGGGUCUCUUGGUUCACCUACCCUCCCCAAGGAAGGAGAAGAGGCUCUAGAUGAAGAACUAACUCUGGAUCUCCUUCUGAAUGACAGAGAAGCUGAUGAGCAGUUGCUGGAAGACAGGGUGGAUUUGAUUUAAAGCAAAUUAAUUUAAAUCAUAUUUAAAUCGCAAUUUAAAUUUUAAAAAUUGGAAUUUCUUUUCCAAUUAAAAUUGUAAUCAUCUUUUUUGAUUUAAAUCAUUAUUUUUGAUCAUUUAGAGUGGUGCCCCGCAUAACGAGCGCUUCGUUU